AUUGGACGCUGGCGGCAUGCCUUACACAUGCAAGUCGAACGGCAGCACGGACUUCGGUCUGGUGGCGAGUGGCGAACGGGUGGGUAAUAUAUCGGAACAUACCUUGUAGUGGGGGAUAACUAUCCGAAAGGAUAGCUAAUACCGCAUACGCCCUAAGGAGGAAAGCGGGGGAUCGUAAGACCUCGUGCUAUAAGAGUGGCCGAUAUCUGAUUAGCUAGUUGGUGAGGUAAAGGCUCACCAAGGCGACGAUCAGUGGCUGGUCUGAGAGGACGACCAGCCACACUGGAACUGAGACACGGUCCAGACUCCUACGGGAGGCAGCAGUGGGGAAUUUUGGACAAUGGGGGCAACCCUGAUCCAGCAAUGCCGCGUGAGUGAAGAAGGCCUUCGGGUUGUAAAGCUCUUUUGUCAGGGAAGAAACGGUUGUGGCUAAUAUCCAUGGCUAAUGACGGUACCUGAAGAAUAAGCACCGGCUAACUACGUGCCAGCCGCCGCCGUAAAAC
rnacentral:rRNA from 1 species